AACGAACGCUGGCGGCAGGCCUAACACAUGCAAGUCGAGCGAGGACUUCGGUCCUAGCGGCGGACGGGUGAGUAACGCGUGGGAACGUGCCCUUUGCUUCGGAAUAGCCCUGGGAAACUGGGAGUAAUACCGGAUGAGCCCUUUGGGGGAAAGAUUUAUCGGCGAAGGAUCGGCCCGCGUUGGAUUAGGUAGUUGGUGGGGUAAUGGCCUACCAAGCCGACGAUCCAUAGCUGGUUUGAGAGGAUGAUCAGCCACACUGGGACUGAGACACGGCCCAGACUCCGACAGGAGGCAGCAGUGGGGAAUCUUAGACAAUGGGGGAAACCCUGAUCUAGCCAUGCCGCGUGAGCGAUGAAGGCCUUAGGGUUGUAAAGCUCUUUCAGCUGGGAAGAUAAUGACGGUACCAGCAGAAGAAGCCCCGGCUAACUCCGUG
rnacentral:rRNA from 1 species